rnacentral:misc_RNA from 1 species
ACUCCGUAGAAGUUCCGCUUGCCUGUGCCCCAACCUCACAUCACCCGUCCGGCGCUAGUCCGCACCCUCUGCGUGUGCCUCGACGCAGGCGAGCUUCACGAGAGUUCCUGUAGGCGUCGAGCACGCGGCGCCUCGUUUGCCCGCAUUGCCUGCUCUUCGCUCUAGCGUAGCCCAUAGAGGGAGGGUGCGAGGUAGAGCUGCACGGCAGCACCUCCAACGCGCCAUUUCGCAUCUCCGCUGUUUUGCGUUACCCCCAUGGCCUUCAGCAGCAGUAGCAGCGAUGACGAUGCGUGGAUGCCACAGUCAAACCCGCCGGGGCUCACCGCGACUUCUGGGCAAACCGCGAUGCUCGAGGCACGACGCCGCGCACUGCAGCAGCAGCGGGAGGCGCAGCAGCAAGAGCGGCAAUGGCGCCCUCAAGAGGCUGGACGGGGGACACCGGCAGCUGGCCGCUUGGGUGCGAGGCCGCAAGCACCGGCCUCUUCACGAAAAACAGAAAGCUCGCUGCUAGACGUUUUCGGCGGCUCCGAUGAUGAUGUGGCGCAAAGUGCAUCCCCGACCUCUGCGUUUCCAAGCGUGCAUUCACCACCGACAGCGAAGACGUCGUCCACCGCAGCGCCUGCGGCGGUAUCACCACCUCCUCCAUCGCACGAGGUCACGGUGGAACAGUUGCAGCGGCAGAUUGCAGCCAAGCAGAAGCUUCUGCAGUCCACGAGGGAGCGUGAGAUGGCGCUGAUGGAGAAAUGGCGCGCCGCAAAGGCGCAGAAGCAGGCUGAAGUAGAGCAGCUGAACGGAAAGCUGCGCCGCCUGUGUGCCGCUGUCGAGAACGAAACGAGCGCCGCCGAGGCAAAAAUUCGCGAGUCGCAGGACGAGCACGAGGCGGCACUGCGGGCGGCGCGUCAGAGCGUAGAGCAGGCUGUAAAGGCGGAGUACGACCCCAAAAUUGCGGAGGCACAGCAACAGCUGUGCGCCGCAAGAAAGGAGGAAGCGGAUCUUCGCGAGCUGCUAAAGGAGAAGAGCGGCGACGGCGGUGGUGCGGCAGGGACUGCCAAGGAUGUGGUGAAGACGGCUCUCACGGCCGCCGUCUCGGCUGUUCUGCGCCGGCUCGACGACGUGUUCGACUCAGAGGAGGCGGAAGGGCUCAAGAUGGAUGAGUGGAGAUCAGAGCUGCAGUCACUCGUGCAGCGCGAGAUUCAAACUUCGUUCGCCGUCGGCGUGGAGAGCGAAACCCAGGCCGAGCGAAUGGAGUACGCACGCUUCUUUGAUGACAUGCUGGCGUUCUGGCGGUCCGCAGAGGAUCAGGAGAGGGAGCGGCUGCUGAAGAUGGACGAGUCCUUGCUGGCUGACAUGCAGGCCAUGACGCAGCAGGAAUUGAAGCGACUACAGGACGAAGCGCUCGGCAUGGAACGCGUGUACAUUGAGUCGCGUGAGGCCUGGGCAGCGGAGCAUCAGCGGCUUCUCCAACGCGAGUUGGAGGCCACACUGCAGCGUCGGGAGGCUGAACUGCAGGAACAGCGCCGGCAACGGCAUAGCCUCCACAUAGAGCGCCUCCGUGAUGCCGAGGCGCGGCACAAGGACGCCAUGGCCAAGGAAGAGGCGCUGCACCAGAAGCAGAUGGAGCAGCUCCAGGCUUACUUUGCCCGCGAGGAGGAUCUGCGCGCGGAGCAGCAGCGGAUCCAAGCGGCUGCACAGGAGGACGUGACGAAAUCCACGGCGCUCCUGCGCGACAUCAUGGCAACCGCUGAGGAUGCCGCGGCGGCAGUGAAAGCGUAUGAGGCGGCGGUGGACGAGAGCCGGCGGGGCGUCGAGGUAGAGCGUGAAGGUCACUUCAAAGAACAGGCGGAAAUGCUGGAGCGCCUCCAGCAGCUGGCGGCGACGCAGUGCAGCAACACCGAGGCGGAGCGCGCUGCCCUCGAGGACUGCGCCUCGCAGUUGCGUCUCGCCUCUCAAAACCUGGACCGUCACCUGCAAGACGAGAGCGCGUGGUUAGCGCAGCAGGAGACGACGUACAAGCGCAGCAAAGACGAGUGGGAGCGGGAGUACCGCCGUUGGCAACACCUUGUGCAGCAGGAGCGCCAGGCCGCCGAGGAGCGCUUCCACGAAGCCCUGCUGGCGCUCCAGCAAAGCCUUGGUCUCCUUGAGACAGAGGAGCGUGAGUUGGCAGUCGAGACCGCUGCGAUGCACCGCGGCUUUGGCGAUAUGGAAGCUCUAGCGCAGAGAGAGAUCGAGUUACUUCGACGGAGAGCGGCGGACGUGCAGAGCCGAUCUGUCGCCAUAGCGGACGUGCAGGCACAACUUUCCCAGAAGAAAGCGGCUGUGGCGGAGGCGAAGCAGCAGCUCGUCCUUGCACAGCAGCGCCUGGAGGAUGAGCAAGCCGAGCUCCGGCUUGACGAGGAGAGGCUACGCGACAUGAUGGAGGCGGUGCGCGUAGCCCGCUCGCAGACGGCGCUCCGCUACUAUAACAUGGAGCUGCUCCGCGCAGCCGAUGCCCAACGGCGACGACAACCGCCUGAGUCAGUGGCAACGACGGCGAUAGAUUCCGAUCGACGCCCACCGAUCCCUGAUGAGGGGAGAGGCUCUGCACGCUGUCCAGCCUCAGGUGGGGUCGCAAAGGGUAACCGAGCAGCUCUUCGUGAUGCCGCAUCUGCUAAAAACGGAAGGCAGCAUCGCGAUCCCCAUCGACUACCCAAUAAAGUACUUCAGGAGCUCCAAGAACAACUAAGUGCACUGAUGACAGCCACCGGCGGCGGCGUCGGUCGGGAUGUCUUCGUGUCAACGAUGCGUUGGCUGGACCCCGCACUGCCCUGCGCGAUGGCGGCGCAACGGACGCGGCAGACACACCCGAGACGGCGCGAGGCGGCCGAUGACACGUUUGCCACCGAUGUACCAGCGCCGCUUUCCUCCCCUCCGCUCCCCGGCCGCCAGCGGCAAACGCGUAGCAAAGUGCACAUUCGUGCACGGCCGGCAGCCUCACCGCAGAGAGGGCGUCACGCAGACCCGUCGUCGCUGCCGCUCACGUCAGACAACUUGUCUCAGCUGUCCCUGCGCUCCGAUGAUGAGUGGUCACCGAGUGGCAACACAUUUACAAACUUGAUCGGGCUCUCCGACCUCGACACGACGUCGCAGUCGAUACGAUGAAGUCGAGGACGCGCGGGGUGGCGCGGUGUUUGUGAUGCGCCAAAAAGCAGUCGCCAUCGACUUCUGUAGAAAAGUGGGUAAGGGUGCGAGAAACUUUUGGAGGAAAUCCCGCACACCGUCCGCGAGAGCGAGCGCGGCAGAGAAUACAUCUAUCUCCUUAUAUAUCUAUCUAAAGGAGAGAAGGAUACCUUCCUCAGUUGUCUUACUUUUCGUUUUCCGCCUUGGCAAGGUUAUAGGGGGUGCAUACUGACAGGCGAAUCAUUUUAUCCGAGUCCAGCUUCUCCCGCUUCCUCGAGAAGCCAGUCUGCCUGCAGCCUACCCUCGGGCACGACUGCGGAUUCCUGUUGUCGGUGGAUCGGUCUGUUCUGGCGCUUUGCGGAAGCGACGCGCGGCCACGAUCACGUUUGUAGCAGCCCAAGAAGAAUCGUGUCGCCGACUCCACAACGUGCAUGCACGCUAACGAGGGCCGCCUGCGUCUUCUCUAGUCAGGCGCAUCGGUUUCUUGGCGUUGCUCGUAUGCGUGUGUGUGCUCUGUUUUCUUACAGAUCCAUAGAUGCGUGCUUCAGGCACUGCCUUGAUGAUGCACUUCCUCUUCCAUUGCUUCACGGCUCGGCGGCGGAUUGCGGUGAGGCAGACAGCCCACGUCUCCAUGGUUCCAGCCUCACCCCACGCGCGGUGUUACUCGGCAUUGCGUGAUUCUUGCAGCGCAUGUUCGAUCCACGGCUGCUCUCUCGCCCUGAUGACCCGCUUUACAUAUACUUUGUUGUCUUUGCUGCACAUGAACAGGUCUGAAACAUACC